UAUUUAAACCAAACUCCGGUGGAAUAAUGUAAAUAAAUAAGCAAGUCACGGGUAAAAACUAGUGUUCAGGCUUAACAUUCCAGACGGUAGCUUAGCGGACUAAUCAAAUUAGGCUUAAUUAAAUUAUACGGGCCGCAUCGUCACUCGUCACGCGAUCACGUAAAUAGGUUAUCGUCAACUUGUUGUUGUGUGGCUGUAUGUUAAUUCGUGUCCUUAGUUUUUAAUGAAAAAAAAAAAUUCGGUGUCUGGAAUCGAAUUCGGAAUGCCUACGUGACAUUGACAGUCGAGGUGAAUUGAAAAUCAGUAACUGUCCAAAAAGUGACAAGAACCGAUCACCUAUCACCGAAUUGAAGAAGUGACAUAAAUAAGAUUCUGCGCGAUGGACCCCAGUAUACUCGCAGCAAUGGACAAAGAAGCACUGAAGAAGCAGAUUGAAAACAUGAAGUACCAGGCUUCUAUGGACCGUUGGCCGCUAUCCAGGAGCAUCGCAGCGUGAGUAACUCUCCAGUGCUUUGAUAAUUACGAAAA